rnacentral:rRNA from 1 species
UACAGAGGUGGCAAGCGUUGUUCGGAAUUACUGGGCGUAAAGGGCGCGUAGGCGGCUUUUUAAGUCAGACGUGAAAUCCCCCGGCUUAACCUGGGAACUGCGUCUGAUACUGGGAAGCUUGAAUUCGGGAGAGGGAUGCGGAAUUCCAGGUGUAGCGGUGAAAUGCGUAGAUAUCAAGUGGAACACCAGUGGCGAAGGCGAGUCCCUGGACAACUCCUGACACUGAGGCACGAAAGCUAGGGGAGCAAACAGG